rnacentral:rRNA from 1 species
CAGCAGCCGCGGGAAUAUGUAGGUGGCAAGCGUUGUCCGGAAUUAUUGGGCGUAAAGCGCGCGCAGGCGGAUAGGUCAGUCUGUCUUAAAAGUUCGGGGCUUAACCCCGUGAUGGGAUGGAAACUGCCAAUCUAGAGUAUCGGAGAGGAAAGUGGAAUUCCUAGUGUAGCGGUGAAAUGCGUAGAUAUUAGGAAGAACACCAGUGGCGAAGGCGACUUUCUGGACGAAAACUGACGCUGAGGCGCGAAAGCCAGGGGAGCGAACGGGAUUAGAUACCCCCGUAGUCCCUGUCUCUUAUAGC